UACAGAGGCUCAAGCGUUGUUCGGAUUCAUUGGGCGUAAAGGGUGCGUAGGCGGCGCGGUAAGUCGGGUGUGAAAUCUCGGGGCUUAACUCCGAAACUGCAUUCGAUACUGCCGUGCUUGAGGACUGGAGAGGAGACUGGAAUUUACGGUGUAGCGGUGAAAUGCGUAGAUAUCGUAAGGAAGACCAGUGGCGAAGGCGGGUCUCUGGACAGUUCCUGACGCUGAGGCACGAAGGCCAGGGGAGCAAACGGG
rnacentral:rRNA from 1 species